AGCAGCCGCGGUAAUUCCAGCUCCAAUAGCGUAUAUUAAAGUUGUUGCAGUUAAAAGCUCGUAGUUGAAUUUCGGGGUUAGCAGGUCGGUCGUGCCAUCGGUAUGAACUGGUCUCGCUGAUCCCUCCCUCUUGACGAACUGUGAUGCCAUUAAUUUGGUGUCGCAGGGAAUCAGGACUGUUACUUUGAAAAAUUGAGUGUUUAAAGCAGGCUCACGCUUGAAUACAUUAGCAUGGAAUAAUGAAAUAGGACGUUUGAUCCUAUUUUGUUGGUUUCUAGGAUUGACGUAAUGAUUAAUAGGGAUAGUUGGGGGCAUUAGUAUUCAAUUGUCAGAGGUGAAAUUCUUGGAUUUAUUGAAGACUAACUACUGCGAAAGCAUUUGCCAAGGAUGUUUUCAUUAAUCA
rnacentral:misc_RNA from 1 species